UAAUACAGAGGGGGCAAGCGUUGUUCGGAAUUACUGGGCGUAAAGGGCGCGUAGGCGGCCUGUUAAGUCGGACGUGAAAUCCCUCGGCUCAACCGGGGAACUGCGUCUGAUACUGGCGGGCUUGAAUUCGGGAGAGGGAUGUGGAAUUCCAGGUGUAGCGGUGAAAUGCGUAGAUAUCUGGAGGAACACCGGUGGCGAAGGCGGCAUCCUGGACCGACAUUGACGCUGAGGCGCGAAAGCCAGGGGAGCAAACGGG
rnacentral:rRNA from 1 species